AAUCAAGUGUCUAAGAGCAUAUGAUGGAUGCCUUGGCAUUGAGAGGCGAUGAAGGACGUAGCAGGCUGCGAUAAGCCACGGGGAGGCGCCAACACCCUUUGAUCCGUGGAUUUCCGAAUGGGGCAACCCACUUCUUUUUGAAGUAUUUUACACUGAAUACAUAGGUGUAAAAAGCAAACCUGGUGAACUGAAACAUCUCAGUAACCAGAGGAAAGGAUAUCAACAGAUACUCUGCUAGUAGCGGCGAGCGAACGCGGACCAGGCCAGUAACUAAAACUUAAUAAUCAAAAAUACCUGGAAAGGUAUACCAUAGACGGUGAUAGUCCGGUAUGAGUAAAAAGAGUUUUAGUUCUCGAGUAGGACGGGACACGUGAAAUCUUGUCUGAAUUUAGGGGGACCACCCUCUAAGCCUAAGUACUUCUCAAUGACCGAUAGUGAACAAGUACCGUGAGGGAAAGGUGAAAAAUACCCCCAUGAGGGGAGUGAAAUAGAUCUGAAAUUGUAUGCUUACAAGCAGUCGAAGGAGGUUUAUCCUCUGACGGCGUACCUUUUGUAUAAUGGGUCAGCGAGUUAAUUUAGAUAGCAAGCUUAAGCCGUUAGGUGUAGGCGCAGCGAAAGCAAGUUCGAAAGAGCGAUUAGUUAUUUGAAUUAGACCCGAAACCGAGUGAUCUAGCCAUGGGCAGGUUGAAGGUAAAGUAAAAUUUACUGGAGGACCGAACACACUAAUGUUGAAAAAUUAGGUGAUGACUUGUGGCUAGGAGUGAAAGGCUAAUCAAACUCGGAAAUAGCUGGUUCUCCGCGAAAUCUAUUUAGGUAGAGCGUCAAAUGUUUACUAACGGGGGUAGAGCACUGGAUGGGCUAGGGGGUUGCAAAACCUACCAAACCUAACCAAACUCCGAAUACCGUUAAGUAUAAUUUGGCAGACAGACUGUGGGUGCUAAGGUCCAUAGUCGAAAGGGAAACAGCCCAGAUCACAAGCUAAGGUCCCCAAGUAAUAACUAAGUGUAAAAGGAUGUAAAGUAGCCAAGACAGCCAGGAGGUUGGCUUAGAAGCAGCCACCCUUUAAAGAAAGCGUAACAGCUCACUGGUCUAGUUAAGCAACUUUGCGCCAAAGAUGUAACGGGGCUAAGUUAUUCACCGAAGCUGUGGAUUAAUAUUUUGUUCUCAAAAUAUUACUGGUAGCGGAGCGUUCCGUAAGUCUGUGAAGAUAAUUUGUAAGAAUUAUUGGAGAUAUCGGAAGUGAGAAUGCUGACAUGAGUAGCGAUAAACAGAGUGAGAAACUCUGUCGCCGAAAGUCCAAGGUUUCCUGCGCAAGGUUAAUCCGCGCAGGGUUAGUCGGCCCCUAAGGCGAGGACGAAAGUCGUAGUCGAUGG
rnacentral:rRNA from 1 species